rnacentral:lncRNA from 1 species
UCUCCAGGCUAGGAGCGACAUUGUGGGGUUUGUCGGCCCUUCUCUCAGGUGUCCUGUGUCUCAUGGAUCAGCCGGCGAGUCCUGUCAGAUGCCUCUCUCCUGCCUGGAGGAGCACUCUCCAAAACGCUGCCUGCCACCCGGAUCUCCUGGCGCAGAGUGAGGCCACAUCUGCAGACCUUACCGCACAGAGUCCCAAGGCAUUCAGCAAGAAGGGGAGUGGGCUGCAUACGUCCACACGGAAGCUGUCCAGGUGGCUCUGGCCAAACCCAAAGAGCAUAAGAUGGCCGGUGCCUAUGCCUUCCAAACGCAGGUCCCUGGACGUGCAGACCUCCAUGGACACCUACACCGCUCCAGGGAAAAGGGAAGAGUGUGUAACCCUCUGGGUGGAAUUGGACUUUUCUUCUGAUUAG